rnacentral:rRNA from 1 species
GGGCCCGCACAAGCGGUGGAGCAUGUGGUUUAAUUCGAUGCAACGCGAAGAACCUUACCUACCCUUGACAUCCUCGGAAUCUGCCGGAGACGGCGGAGUGCCUUCGGGAACCGAGUGACAGGUGCUGCAUGGCUGUCGUCAGCUCGUGUUGUGAAAUGUUGGGUUAAGUCCCGUAACGAGCGCAACCCCUGUCCCUAUUUGCCAGCGAUUCGGUCGGGAACUCUAGGGAGACUGCCGGUGACAAACCGGAGGAAGGUGGGGACGACGUCAAGUCAUCAUGGCCCUUACGGGUAGGGCUACACACGUGCUACAAUGGCAGGUACAAAGGGUUGCAAGACGGCGACGUGGAGCUAAUCCCAUAAAGCCUGCCUCAGUCCGGAUCGGAGUCUGCAACUCGACUCCGUGAAGUCGGAAUC